rnacentral:lncRNA from 1 species
GAAAAAUGAAAACAUUGGGCAGAAAGGGAAGAACCUACCCCGAGUGAGAGAAAUUCAAUGAAGGAGCUAAGUAGUUAAGGUUAAAAUAAUAGCAUUUGCACAUGGAUAGUUAAAAGGGGUGUGUGAGAAAAACGAAAUGACAGCUUUCUAGCAGAACUAAAGAGAAAUGGAAGCAAAAGCAGAUGGAAAUUCUAUAGCAGAACAAAAGCGGAACAAACAAAGAAUAAUCCAGGAGGAGGUGGGAGUCAAACCAGACGGAAGAGCUUAAAAAUUAUCAAAGCAAAGCAACGGUGCACAGGGAGAGCGACACAGAUUUGGGGCGGGGGUGAGUAUAAGGCCUGGAAAGAAUUUACAGGGACACUGUGAAGUGUGAAUGCAACAUGCAUGUGUUUUGCCCACAUUUACAUAAUGCAGGCAUCUUUGGUCAGGGGGCAACAGAGGUUUCAGGGAGCGCACCUGAACUCCAGAAUUUUCUCCAGAAUUCAGACUAGGAGAAGUGGUAUGGUUGUGGGCAACCCACAAUCAUCCACACACACAGUGCUUUUUACAUGGAAAAGUGAGGUGCUGGUGCUCAUAUAUCGAUAAAAGUGCCGUAGAUGCCAGCUCAAGAUGGCUGCCAUGGGCGGCAAAGAAGAGGUCUCUGACACCAGUACUCCAUACCAGUGAGUACUGUCACACACAAAAAGCAACCACCACACAUCCUGCCUCUGACUUGCCUUCUAUUCCCUGCAAAUUGUGGAUCAAUACUAUUUUAUAAUUAAUUGAUUGGAUCAAUGGAUGCCAUUUUGGGGGGGAAAGAGUUUAUGUGGUAUUUUUAUUUAUUUUCGUACACUGCCCUGAGAAGUUUUGUUGAAGGAUGACUAAAAAUAAUAACCAAAGCAUGUAAGUGAUGGUGAUAAUUCUCAAUACUUUAAAACUGUAUGCUUGCUAUUGCGGGCAGUGUUAUAUUGCAGCACAGUCUGCAACAUGUUCUUGAUCAUGACCCAAAAAUAGUGCAUUAGUGGUGGGUUCAUCCUGCUUUAGCUUGGUAAGAAAUAAAGCAGUGUGGGUCCCCUACAAUCUUUGCAGGCACAAACAGUAUUAAAAGUAGUAGGGAUCCUGCAUUACAAAUACGUUCAGUGCCUUUCGGAUGAACCGAGCAACAGUCUAAUUGAAACGGCUCAGAAUCUUUUGGACUUGAUAUUCAGAUUGUUCUUUGAAGAGGGCACACUCUUCCUUCUUUCCUACUUUAGUCCUGCAAAAAGUUUAAAGCAGGCCUGUAAGUUAUCAGAGUCUGUAGGCCUUCCCAACUCUUCUGGAUCAGUGUCUCUCUCCCUGGGCCAGGCUGGGCUUCUGAAGCCUCUUGAGAACAAUCAUCCUACCCUGAAAUCCUAUCUAAACUAAGCAUUCUCCAACUACAUCUAGGAAGAGAAGGAGGGUGGGUAAUUGCUACACCUUAUGCUGGUCAAUACAAGCAUGCUGGAUUUCUGCUUGAGAAAGCAACUGCAACAUUUGACAACAGCAUAGGUAACAGAAACAAACUGAAAAUGAAAUUAAAACAUUUAUAGGCUCCAAUACUUUGGCCACCUGAUGAGAAGAGAAGACUCCCUGGAAAAGACCCUGAUGUUGGGAAAGAUGGAGGGCACAAGGAGAAGGGGACGACAGGACGAGAUGGUUGGAUAGUGUUCUCGAAGCUACCAGCAUGAGUUUGACCAAACUGCGGGAGGCAGUAGAAGACAGGGGUGCCUGGCGUGCUCUGGUCCAUGGGGUCACGAAGAGUCGGACACGACUAAACGACUAAACAACAACAACAUAGUAUCAAUCAAUGUAAAGUUCAGGGCAUCUUGCAAGACUAUACAAAAGAAGCAACACAAUAAAAAAAUAACAGAGUAAGCAC